rnacentral:rRNA from 1 species
GGAUCAAUAUAUUGGUUGUGCCUUCGGUAUGCACAGGUAUCAUUGAUUUCUACCUUCUGAUGAACUAUGAUGUCAUUAAUUUGGUGUCAUGGGGAAUCAGGACUGUUACUUUGAAAAAAUUAGAGUGUUUAAAGCAGGCACAUGCUUGAAUACAUUAGCAUGGAAUAAUGAAAUAGGACGUUUGACCCUAUUUUGUUGGUUUCUAGAAUCGACGUA